GGGUGAGUAACACGUGGAUAACCUACCUAUAAGACUGGGAUAACUUCGGGAAACCGGAGCUAAUACCGGAUAAUAUUUUGAACCGCAUGGUUCAAAAGUGAAAGACGGUCUUGAUGUCACUUAUAGAUGGAUCCGCGCUGCAUUAGCUAGUUGGUAAGGUAACGGCUUACCAAGGCAACGAUGCAUAGCCGACCUGAGAGGGUGAUCGGCCACACUGGAACUGAGACACGGUCCAG
rnacentral:rRNA from 1 species